GCCGAGCUUGGUAAAUGGUAACGCUAGCUUGUAACUCGAGUGAGGGUAUUAAGGUGGCUUAGGGGUGAAUACAAUUGAGAUAGAGAUGCCUGGCUCGCUCAUCAGCCUGGACUGGUUCCUUUAAGAUUACCUUU
rnacentral:SRP_RNA from 1 species